AGGACGAACGCUUGCGGCGUGCCUAAUGUAUGCAAGUCGAGCGGGUCGGUUUCCUUCGGGAGGCCGGCGAGCGGCGAACGGUUGAGUAACACGUAGGCAACCUGCCCCGAAGUCGGGAAUAACUCAUCGAAAGGUGGGCUAAUACCGGAUGUGGAAGCCGACUGCCUGGUCGGUUCUCUAAAGGCGCAAGCCGCUUCGGGAUGGGCCUGCGGCCUAUCAGCUAGUUGGUGGGGUAACGGCCCACCAAGGCGACGACGGGUAGCUGGUCUGAGAGGAUGGUCAGCCAGACAGGGACUGAGACACGGCCCUGACUCCUUUGGGGGGCAGCAAUGAGGGAUAUUGCACAAUGGGGGAAACCCUGAUGCAGCGACGCCGCGUGGGUGACGAAGUCCUUCGGGAUGUAAAGCCUUUGCUGGGAGAGAACGGACGGUACCCAGCGAAUAAGCCCGGCUAACUACGUGCCAGCAGCCGC
rnacentral:rRNA from 1 species